CAAAAUGGGUCCAAAUUUUAUAAACAAAAUUUCAUAGAUAAUGACACAAUCAUGUGGCAUUAAAGAAUCUACCAAGAACACCCAUGUGGCAAUUGGGCACCAUGACAGCACCAAUCACAAAAUCCUACUGCAGCCAGAGGCUUCAAGUGACAAGUUGGCUCAGUUUCUGGAUUCACACUCCCACAGCAUGACCUCAUUGUUGCAUCAUUAACAAACUUCCAUUUUUCUCCACUUUCUUUUCUCAAUAGGGUAACCCUACACAGCAGUGACUUUAUACGACUGUCCAUUUGGAGUUAUUUUAAAGCUUCCGUGGAUCUACAUGAUGGUAUUGAGGAGGAGAAGAUAGGAUGGACCUACUCUUUGUAUUCCCUUUCUUCGCUUGUCAUGAUUGAUGUUCAAGCCCCAUAUCAAUAUUUUCCUGUCCAUACAUGUAUCUUUUUUAAGACUAAAGUUCCUCAAAUGGGCUUUGAUCCAAAGCAAAAAUAUAGAAUGAUAUGAUAUACUAAUAAGAAUAUUCUCGUAUUUGCCUAUAAAAAAUUAAAAUGAUGGGAAAUAGUAAUUGAAAAUAAGCAAUAUUCUAAUAUUAUCAACAUGCUUAAACAUAUAAAUAUAUAUACAUACUAGAAUUACUUCAUUUUUUGUUAGGUAGAAGACUAGACAGGUCGAAAAAAAUGAUAAAGAGUGUUUUAAUAAUCAGAUUUAAGUAAUAUUUAUCUUUUUACCUAAAAUAUAAAUGUAAUAAAGAAGUUCUUGAUAUAAAAUAUAUCGUGAAUUUUUCAUAAUUAUAUAGGCUUAUUUUAAAAUCAAAAAAUUCCAUUAAAUUAGAGUAAAUGAUAUCUAUACAUGAGACUUCGUAAAUGAUAUUUACCUAUUUGACCUUGUAAUUUAGUAGUCUUGUAAUCCUAUGAAUCUUGACAAAAAUAUCAUCAUUAGAAGAAAAAGUUUUUGACAUUGGAUAUAUGAAAAGUUAUCUAACCUCACAAUCUCAUUAAACACAUUAUAAUAUUCAAACCUCAAAUUUCAAUCGUAAUCCUACUAAAAUCAUGCGAGGUUACACUUUAUUUGUUUUCUUUGGUGGGUGAGAAUUAAAUCAAGUUUGAGGAAUUUUUUUUUCUCAUAAUAUUAUAUUUUCAUAAUAUCACAGGCUUGCAAAUGAAUCAAUUCUUUUCUUCUUGAAGGAAUGCGCACUAAGGUGGAGAAGUUCAACAAGUAAUUUCAGCCUCCAACAUAAUCCAAACAAAAGCAAGAGAGAAAGGUCAUUUGUGCUUGGAUCAUGCAGGGCCGAUAAUGGAAAUAUGAAGCUUCAAAAUUACUAAAUAUUAGUUGUUGUCACUUAUUUUUCCAUUUGAGGGUAAACAGCUGAUCUAGAUUCUAAUCUCUUCAUAAAAAAGCCAGUGUUAUUACUUUCCACCCAUUGGAUUUUUUGGUCAUCAUUUUCAUGAUCAGUCAUGGCCCUUUGAUUCUUGCCAAUCCAAAUUCAGUAGGGGAUGGUAAAAUAUUCAAUAUUCUAAAGCCAAGAAUUAAAAAAUUAUUACUUUGUACUCCUGGUCAUCAUCUCAAACCCAUGAAAUUCAUACAAACUGUUUUGAGUUUUGGCCCAAUGCCAUCUGUUUGCCAUAACUAACAAGCCCAGAUUUGGGCCUGUUGGUUAAGACCAAAUAAAAUUUUCAGUUCAUUUCCACUGGGCUUAAAAGCCCUUUUCAUCCAAAAAGAUGAUAAUAAUCUAUAUUGAUCAUUUUACCUAAUGCUUAAUGACACUUCAUGGAGGUCACCAGCCCAAUCAUAGAAAUAUUUGAUUGACUUUCCUAUAGAUGGUAAAAUCAACAGUAGUUUUAGAAAGUACUUUUAGCAUAAAAAAUGUUUUUGAAGAAAAAUCAAGAAAUGUACAAAAUUUUAAAAAUCACUUAUAGUAUGUAUGUAUCUAGGGGUGGGGCUAUAUAUGUAGAAAGGGAUCCGUCUCUAUCCAUCUGGAUAUUCACAUAGGUUACCAAGUCCAUCAAUUAAGAUAGUGUAUAAAUAACAAUAAAGUAAGAGCAAGUCAACAAGUUCAAACAUGAAGAGUUAGUUGAUGGGCUAGCUACAUUUCUUGUGAGUCGACCCACAUAUGGGUAGACAACGAAGGUAAGAUCAACGCAAGGGUCACAUAUGUACAUCAAUCGCAUGUGUAUGGUACUGUUAGCAAGUGGGGGUAGCAAUGUUAUUUCUAGUCUUACUUCAUGGAAAAGUAGUUGAGAGAUAAUUUUUUGAAAAACACUUUCAUUAAAAAAAAUUUCUAAUAAAAAUAUUGUCAAACAUACUCUAAAUUUUAGUUGCAGUAGAUAUUAUGAUUGUCACUCCUUUUCUAGGGUUAAGACAUGAUCCGACAUGAUUGGAGUUCAUGUAAUCAAAUUUCCAUAUAUUGAGAGGAAGAGAGGAAGAGAUUUUACAUGAGAUGAUAGACAAAGAAGCGAGCAGUUGAGCAGUCUAGAAGAUGUCACUUGAAGGCCGAAAGCUGCAAGUUACUAGAUUUAAGAAGGAAGACAAGAAUAACAAAUUGUUUCAUCAAAUGGCUAGGGGAGGGGAGGAGAAUGAACUUUACUAAGAAUCUAAUGGUUUGGGUGUAGAAAUAUGACAAGUAUGGGCAAACCUUCUCAAUGAAACCAUGAAGAAAGGAUUCAAUAAAAGUUUGAACAAUAAGCUACACAGCAUGACCUCAUUUUUCUUUUGUCGGGGAACCCUAAAUGACUUUAGGACUGCCAGUGGAGUUAUUUUAAAGCCUCCAUGAAUCUACAUGAUGGUAUAGAGAGGAGGAAGAAGAUAGGGUGGACCCACUCUUUACAUUCCCUUUCUUCUUCUGUCAUGACUGAUGUUCAAGCUACAUAUCAAUAUUUUGUUCAUACAUGUUCUUUUUUUUUUUUUCUGUUGAAAAGAAAAAAACUUAAGUCUUUCAAUGGGUUUUGAUUCAAAGAAAAAUGUAUAAGGUUAUCAUUAAUUAGAAUAUUCUUCUAUUAGCCUAUCAAAAAAUUAAUAUGAUGUGACAUAUAAAUUAAAAAAUUAAACAAUGUUCUAAAAUUAUGCCUUCUGAAUCAUUUCAUUUUCUAUUACAUACAAGACAAAGCAACUUGGGGAUAUGGUGGGCAACACUUAGUACUUAAAUUUGGGUGACAUUUGUUUUGUUUUUGGAAGUGUUAAUAUGACUAAAUUUCUCUGAACUUCCUCUUAAUUUGGAAUAAAAAUUAAUAUUAUAUCAUUCCAACUUCAUAUUUCAAAUGAGAAUAUAUUUUUUUUUAAAUAUUUUUUAUAUACUUACAUUCCAACAUAACAAGAUUUAGAAAGUGUUGGCUAAAUCCAUUUAACAAUUUAAUGUAAUUUAAUAAUUUAAUUUAAAUCAUUAAAGAGACUUACUACCACAAUUUAAAGUUAAAAAUAAUUUUAAAUAUUAAGCUUAAGUGGAUGUUUGAUAGAACUUAAUAAUUUAAGUUGAUUUUAUAUUAAAUUAUUUUUGAGUUAUUGACUUAAUUUUUUUUUUUUUUUCAGUAUUGAGGUUAUGUGGUAAAAUUAAAUUAAUAUUUAUUCUAAAUCAUUAGAUAUGGGUAAAAUAGGUAAAAAAGAAAAAAGACUUGACGUUAAGAAUAAGUUAACUGUUUUAAUUUAAUACUUUAAGUUAUUUUUUAUUUUAAGUUAUGAUAUUAAGUUGUUUUAUCAAAUAUAUUUAAUUUACUUAAUAACUUAUUUAUUAAGUUAUAUUGAAUCAUUAAGUUGAUUUUCCAAACAUAUUAAAUAGUAAACUUAUUGAUAAUAUUAAUUUUUUUUUGUCUUAUUUGCCCACAUAUAAUUAAAGUAUAUUUUACAAUUAUGACUUCACAUUCAUAAUUCAUUUUUUAUAAUAAAUAUUUUGCAAUAUAUAUCUCCUAUACUUCAAAUAUGAAUAUUUAACAAAUAAAUUUAUUCUUUAAGGUUAGUAAAAAUAAAUAUUAGUUAAAAUUAAUAAUGAUAAAUAUUUGUUAAAACGAACAAGGGUAAAAAUGUUAAUUUGGUGAUUUAGAAUAAAUUUCAAGUUAACUUUAUUGAAUAACCUUAAUACUUAACGUAAAAACCAAAUAAUAAGUUAUCACUUAACAAACUAAGAAUAAUUUAACAACAAAUUAACUUAAAUCAUUAAAUAAUAAAUAUUAAAUUUUACCAAACAACCGCUUAAUGUAUCAGAAACAUUUAGACCCCAUUAAAAUUUCAAACAAAACACAUUAGAGAGUUGGGACCUGUUUGGUUGUUGUUUUUGAAAACUGUUUUGGAAAACAGUUUUUGGCGUUUUUAGAAAAAAAAAAAAAAUUAUGUUUGGGAACUAAAUUUUGGAAAAAAAGUUUUUUUUCUUAAAAAAAAAAAAAAAACAUGUUUAGUUGAGUUGAUAAAAAAGUUUUUUAGAACAAGUAAAACAAAAAAUAUGUUUUUUUUUCCAAUUAAUAAAGUGUUUUCUUCAAGUAAAUUUAUAUUAUAAAUUUAUAAAUAAUUUUUAUAUACACAAUUCAUUUAAAUUAAAAAAAAAUUACUUUAUUUUAAAAUUUUAAAAAUAGAUUUGAUAUUAAUUAGAUUUUAAAUACUUUUUUUUAGUUUUUAUAAAAUUUGAAACAAAAAUUGGGGAAAAAUGAAAGAAAAGUAAAUAAAAAUGAUAAUAGUUUGAUUAAUUUUAAAAUAAAAAUAUUUUUUUAUAUUUUAAAAAAAUAAAUCAUGAUAAAAUCAUUUUUAUUAACGUUUUUUUUUCUUAAUUUAAUCUUUAAUUUUAUUAAAAAUUAUAGUAUAUUCAAUUAAGAUGAGAUAAAAAGUUUUAAAAAGAAUUAAUUAAAUUUUUAAUUUACAACUAAUUUUCACCUAACAAGCUUGUAAAUAAAAUAAAUAGGACAUGAAAAUAAAUGAAAGUAAGGUGAAGUUUGAAGAUGGUCACUUUCCAAGGGAUUCCAUGGUCCAAGAUGGUGGUGUAUUUGUGUUGACCAAUAUAUUUUACCAACCAAUAUGCUUUAACCAAUUGAUUUUCACUUUAUAUAUAAUUUUUUUUUUUACUAACCAUUUUAUCCAUACAAAUGACUCUCAUAUCAUUUUUUUUUUACCAACCAUUUUAUCCAUACAAAUGACUCUCAUAUCCCUUAAAAAUGUCUCUCACCGUUCCAAUCUUGAGAAAAGUCUUUAUCCAAUAUUACUACCUUAUUUACAUAUUGCUAUUGUCACACUCUGCCGUCUUUCAUCUUCUUCAAAACUGAGACAAAAAUCACCUACAAAACCCUCUCAAUAAGCAACUCGAUUUUCUCUAUCUUUCAUGUCCUUAAGCAGGUUUUUUGUUUUUCUUGAACAAAACAACUUAAGAAAAAUCAAAACUAAGAAAUGGGAAAAAUCAGGAAUUUUUUUCGUUUUUGUUUUCUUUCUUGUUCCCCACUUUUCUCAGCAUCCAAACGGGAAAAAUAAAAAAACUAAUAACACAUGAUAAAAAAAACUCAAAUCUCAUUCGAAUAACAAAACUGAGAAACGGGAAGAAAAAAAACACGGAGAAUAGUUGUUCUCUUAUGGUUUUUUUUUCUUGUAAAUAGUAAAAAAGCGGAGAAAACAACAUUUUUUUGUUCUCUAAAAAGUGUCAUUUUGAGAACACGGAGAACAAGAAAAACAAAAACAACUUUCUCAACCAAACAAGUUUUUACUGUUUUUUGUUUUCAAGAAUAUAAAACAAUUCUUGAGAACACCAACCAAACAGACCUUUAGAUGUUGUUUGUUUUUUUAACUUUUUGCUAAAAGCAACUUAUUUUUAUAUUUCAAAUUGUUAAUUUUUAUACUUUUUGUUAAUUUAUUAUUUAUUUAUUUAUUUUUACUAACUAGAUAAAUUCAAAAUAUUUAGCUUUUUAAAAUGUUAAAAGUAAUAUUGUGGACCCCGCAUUUCGAUGGCUCGAAUGCGUUUCCCACUCGAUGACGAGCUCGAUUUAUUAUUUAAAAAAAAUGAUUUUUAUUGAUUAUUUGAAAAUGACUUGGAGUCGCCACUUAUUUUUGUUUUAUUUUUAAAGGGUAAACAAAAUAAGAAAGAAAAAACCCUAAGUGUGACUCCUUAUUUUGGAAAAGGUGAUCUGCGAAAAACCGGAUCGGGUUCGGGGGUCAGAUUACUUAUCGGGAAGGUACGGUAAAGACCGUAGCACCCCUCUAAGUCCCUAAAAACGGGUCUCUACUAAUAAAAUGAAGCUGACAUGGUAAUCAAUGAGAAAAUCAAUGAAUACUCGAAUCAAUCAUGCACAUAUGAGUAUCAAAACAUGCAUAUAGCAAGACCAGAAUAAGAACAGAUGCGUACCUGGGCAACGAUCUUCAAUGCGCUAUCAAGAAGUGAGAUUAGUGCACAAUUAAGGAAUAGUCACAUGCAUAUCAUAGAGCAGAAUAAAUCAUAUAUGAAUAGCAAUCAAAUCAACCAAUCAAUCGAUCAAUCAUAAAUCACAUAUGUGGGGCCCCACCAAAGCCCGUUUAUUUUUGCAUGAAUUAAUUCCACAAAUUCCAUUAUUCGGAACUACGGAAUUUAAAUUCAUGUUUAUUUUAAAACGUUUUAAAAUGAUGAAAAAAAAUUCGAAAGUGGCUCGCCGAAAAGAAAAUGGCGGCCAAAUUUUAUUGAAAAUGAGUCUUGUGGAACCUAAAGACUCUAAGGAUGAAAAUUUUGAUGACUUGAAAUCAUUUAAAAAAAAACGAAAAUUGGAAAAUCAUUUGAAAACAGGGUUAGGAAAUCUUUAUUUCGAAAUCACAAGGAAGGGAUUUGAAAGGAAGUGACAUGCAGCAUAAGGAUGGUGGCCAUGCAGAGAAGAUCCCAUUUUUGGCCCACUUUGAAGGAGUGUUCUUUCUCUUAUUUCCUUUCUUAGUACAGCGAGCCUGAUUUGAGAAAAACUGAGUCAACUUCCAGAUUUAGGGUUUGAUAUAUUCUGGGUUCGACAAAAGAUCUUCCCUCUGCAUCUCAAUCUCUCUUUCCUGGCUCAAAAUCUCCUUGGGAACAUCUUCCGUAACAAGAGAUUGCACUUAAAGACAGGCAACAGCUUGCAUGGCCAGGUCAUCAAUUAGCUUCAUUUCCUGUCUCUCAAUUCGCAGCUUCAGCAACUUUCAAGUGUAGAGUCUCCUUUUCAGCCUCACCCUGGUUUCCUGAGCUCCAUUGCUUCUUGCAUCACUUGCAAAAUAUUCAAUAACCUGACUGAUGAGCUUUAUGAGUUCAAGAUUUUCCAGAUUUGCAAGUUACCGUGAUGACUGUGCAAACGUGAAAUCCCCACCCAAUACUGCCAUUUUAUAACGCACAGGGAAUUUUCCUUGCAUAUGGGCUGUUGGCGGCUUGGACUUAUCACCUGGGUCUCUCCAUAGUCUCAAACCCAAAUCAGUGAGAACAGCCCAGACUUUCAUUGGGCUUACUUUUUGAUGCUCAUGACUGAAUAUAUAAAAAAAAUGGAGGUUCGGCUCUCUAAGUCACUUCAACACCUUGAAGACCUUUGCAUGAAUGACUUAUUCUUUCUCCAGUAGGGAUACCGAGAACAAACCUGAACCCUGACAUCAUCUCUUUGGGUCUUGGAACUUCUUCUGGGAAACCAUCAAGACAAGGGAUGACAGUGACAUAUUUGUUGGACGAGGUGGUUGAUGAAGCAAUGUGAAGUGUACAAUGGAGAAGCUAGUAUGAGGGGCGUGAAAAAUGGGUACGGGUAUGAGAGUUAGGUGUUGUGUUGAUGAGUUUGGAAGGAUGAGAAUAUAGGAAUAAUGGUGAGGGAUCGUAUGCAUGAGAUGCAUGCAUGCGAGAGGAUUGUGGAAUAGGUGAAGGGGAAAUUAAUGGAUGAAGAUGAAUGAUGAGAGAAUGAGAUAGAAGAUGGGUAUGAUGGACAUGAAGGUGAUAGUGAGAGGGAAAACAGGUUUGGGGGUGUUAGGAAAUAGAAGUAUGGGUACGGAGAUGUGGAGCCAUGCAUGACUGAACGGGUUGCCUAUUCCCAGUUUUUCUUUUCCACAGAUUUACAGCAUUUCCUUGAGUAAGUUUCCUCUGUAACAUCCCAUGACCUUUUCCCAUUCAUUAUAAAGCAUGCGCGGGACCCAUCGAGAGAAACACCCAUUCAUCAUUGUUGUUUCAUUAUGGUCCCUCACUGUAUGUAACUAGAACCUUCUGUAGCUAUUAUGGAAUUAUCACCACUAUUACAAGAGGAUGAAACCCAAGCAACGUCACCUGAGGAGUGCUCUACACUUUCUGUAAUCACUUCAAUAAGAUUUCAGUCAACAGUCAACUUGUUCAAGGUCAAUGUUCCUGUCUUGUCAUUGCAGAGAGCAUCCAUGCAUGCCAUUUCCUCAAUGGCCAUCAUUCUUUUAGUGAUUGUAUCCUGCUAAAAGACUUUCUUCGAGCACAAGAGUUCUCAUCACAAAAACGCCCAAAAAGGAUAUUGGGGCACUAAUGGGGUAUGUACCCACCACGACCUGGGUUUGGCAUAAGGUCCAGUAUAACUGCCUCCUCUGUAUCAUGCCCAGAAACUGAGAGAUUCCCAAGGCGAUGAACUCUUCAAGCUUGACUUUGAGGAUUCGAAUUUGAAAAUACAUCUAGAGGGGGUGGCACAACAAUCUCCCAUGGGGUAGCAUGUAGUUUCAAUGCGUAUGAAGUUUGAAUCAUGACGAAGAUCACAGUCUUCCAAGAAGGACUUCCUGAUUCGAUUUCCUGAAUUACAACCCAUUUUGGUGAUCACCCUGCUCAACUCCAGCAGUAUAGAUGCAUGAACCAUCAGCAGUCAAGAGGCAAUACUAAUGCCCAGGUAUGGCAGUCACCAAUUCUGAGUAGAAUAAUUCAACAACUCCCUGAGCAAUGAGUCAAUAAUGACCCAAACUCAGAAUAAAUGUCCACAUGAAGAACAGGUACUGCUUCAUGCAAUUCAGAUUUGACCUUUUGGACCACAUGGUGAAGGUCAUCUGUCUUUUUCCAGUCCAUUGUGCAGCACAAUCUCCUUAAGAGCCUCACUGUCAUUGGUGUGGUGAUUACAUUCCAGAUUCAGCAGAAAGGGUGCAUCUAUAGACACAGUAAAGGCAUCGGCCAAAGCAUUCACAAUAUACGCAUUCUCACGAGGAUUUAGCUCAAGUUUCUUUCCUCUGUACGUCCAAUGUGAUCUACAUAGCUUUUCAGGCACUCAGAAAUACUCAACUGUAUGGAAAGUGACCCUCAUGAGGCUCUCUCAGAGACACCCCACCUCCAAACCAUGAUAGCCAAUCCCAAAUGAGAUAUUUAACACCACAACCACAGCAAAAUCAAAGGAAUGAAAACAAAGGCAGAGACCAGAGUGAAAAUUGAGAGAAUGAUGGACUGGGAAUCAGGUAAAGCAUGAAUGUAUAAAGCCUCAUUUCAGGUGACAUCCAUGGGCUCAUACAGGUGAGGAGAUCUUAAGCUAGACUUACAGAGUGUAUGAAAAACAGAGUCCCACUAGCUCCAAACCAAACCACAAGAAAUGACAGUAAGAUCAACAGCAACAGAGCAUAAGAAAGGAUCCAAAAACCAAUAAAUUCAGCAUGUAAUCCAUAUUAUCCAACUCAAAUUGGCGAGCAAUGUAGAGUAAAUCAAAAUGGGAAAGAGAUGAGAAAUAUAUGAAUCAAAGUAAGCAAGAAACUCACCUCAAACUUACCUGCAGCUACUCUCUUCCUCUGUUAUCUCCUUUUUUAAGCUCUUGCUCUCUGUCUUGCUUCUCAAGGUACUCCCAAAAAGCUCCUCUCAGCAACCAGAAAACACAUUACCCUCUCGCAUUACCUCACUCUCUCUCCCUCUCUCAAAAUAUCUCUCUCCAAAGUGUCUCUCUAUAGUGUUUUCCUCUCUCAGAGCUUCCUCAUCCUCCUUUUUGACCUCUCUCUCUGCUAACCCAGAAACUCACCUCUCUGCUCCCACUCAAACUUCCCUGUUUUUCCUCUCCAGCUAUUCUCUGUUCUCUCUCUGCUUUCUCUCUAUGAUCGACAGCCUCCCAAGAAAAU
rnacentral:lncRNA from 1 species